rnacentral:rRNA from 1 species
ACGGAGGGUGCAAACGUUGCUCGGAAUCAUUGGGCGUAAAGCGCGCGUAGGCGGCGGAGCAAGUUGGAUGUGAAAGCCCUGGGCUCAACCUAUGAUGUGCAUACAAAACUGCUUCGCUUGAAUCUCGGAGGGGGACAGGGAAUUCCCGGUGUAGAGGUGAAAUUCGUAGAUAUCGGGAGGAACACCAGUGGCGAAGGCGCUGUCCUGGACGAUGAUUGACGCUGAGGCGCGAAAGCGUGGGGAGCGAACAGGA